UAAUUCCCUCGGGCUCUCUCUCUCAAAAUUAAAAAAAACAACCAUGGAGGCCCGGGAGUCGAAGACGCGGCAUCGGUGAUCAACUCCGCCAACACUCCGCCGCCGCAGUUUGUGAACAAAAUCUGCGAUAUGGUGGAAGACCCCUCCACCGACGCCUUUGUCUCCCUCCUGGAGCAACGGCAACAACAGCUUCGGCGUCUGGAACGUCCCUGAGUUCUCGAGGGACAUCCUGCCCAAGUAUUUCAAGCACAGAAAAUUCUCUAGCUUCGUCAGGCAGUUGAAUGCUUAUGUGAAAAGGUGGAAGGAAAAAGGACAUUAAGAGGUCAGAACUACAUUGAGAUAUAAAAUUUGAGCCGACUACUUUUGUGCAAAUUGCCUUGUUUUACGUGCUUCUUGGAUAAAUUUGUUCCAUUGCAUUGCAUUACUCUGAAAAGAAAGGGGCAAGCAAAACCUACUCCUAACAAGUUGCUGGCUUUUCAGCCGUGCAAGUUGUGCUUAUUAUGCUGUGAGGGAAGAUCUUUUACAUUGAUGAAGAUAUUUUCUGAAACUGAUUGGUCGAUGUUUUCUCAAAAAUUUCAGUUGAAAUGCCAAUUGUAGUGAUUGUCAUUGUCAUAUCAGCAAUGUGUCUAGAUUAUUCAAUGUGCCCAUCAUACUUGGUGGCACAAGGAUGUUCAUUACUCUGGCAUCUGUAUACUUUGACUUUAUUUCUUCCCUCGAUCAGACCUUCACCCUCCAAGCUUGAUGAAACAUUAGGUGAAAUCAGUCCAAGUCCAGAGAAACCACUCAAAUCCAAGGUCGUGCAUUCUAACAAUUUGAUCAACAUAACCGUCUUUGAACCAAGGAACGAAAUGCAUUUCGUGCCUCUUCCAAAGUAUCGACAUUUGUAACCAACUAUAAACUUAUAAUAUAUUUCAACUUAAGCUCCUCAUCCAAUUGAUUGCAACUCCACUCUAGACUCAAGUAUGUUGUCUCUGUCAAACCUUUUCUCUCAAGACUGGAAUGAAACAUCAAAUGCAUUUAUAAUGUUCCCGGUAAGUUGGUUCCCAUCAAACCGGAUUCUAGACAAUGCCCAACAAUUCCUCAAGCACUCGGGCAAAUACCCAAUUAGAUUGUUAUUGUUCACUUUGAAACUUGCAAAGCGAAUCCGCUACACUACUCCGGUGCUCAAAACCGAUUGAAGAGUUUAAGGAAUUCUCACCAAGGUCAAGGUAGUGAAGCUUCCCGAGUUCGCCUAUUUCGAUGAAAUUUUCCCUUCGAGGGAAUUUUGAGAUGGGUCAACAUGUUGCAUGCAGUCCAGACAUUAAACCAAUAUCUUAAGGGAUUAGGCCACUAAUGUAUAUUGGUCCUUGGUAGACUUUGAAAAGUCUCAUCUUUUUUUUCUUGGUUAUUUUCACCUUAAUCUGUAUUUGUCCUGUUGUGCGUUUGGUUCAAGUAUGUCUCCUUAUUGUCUCGUUUGUUGUCAUCUGUGAGGAUGGUUUGUUAUUGUUUGCGAGAUGUUUUGCAGGAUUCAUAGAUAAUAGAUUUGGUAUGGGCUGCCGUGCGUGUAACUCUGUAAAGACUACUCUCUUCCUUUCAUUUAAAAUGGUAUAUCGAUUAUUUAUGUUGA